AGGAAAUUUACAAAAUAUCUUCAUGGAACAUGAUCUUUAUUUAAUGUCCUAAUGAUUUUGACCCAUACAAUGUGUUUUUGGCUAUUGCUACAAAUAUACCUGUGCAACUUAAGACUGGUUUUGUGCUCCAGGGUCACAUUUCGGAGAGCACACAUCAGUAUGUUAACAUAAUGUCUCCGUUCUCUCCUUAAGGGAAUUAUGGUUACAUACAUAACCGAGAUCUUUUUAGGUUACCAGUGUUUAAAAUCUUUUUUUUAACAGUCUGCCAUUAUUACUUUAUUCCCUAAGUGAAAGUGUCCAAUAAUACAGUGGUACAAAGAGUAAGAAAGGGUGAGGAUGGGGGCAAAAGCAUCAAUUAUUAUAUUUAUUUAAACAAUUAUUAUCGAACAAUAUUAAUUUAGUAACAUAUAAAGAACAUUAACUUUUAAACUGAGUGAGUGCAUGAAUAUUUUUUGUGUAUAGAGAGAGAGAGAGAGAGAGAGAGAGAGAGGUAAACUAUGCUGUGUGCCGGUAUCUUAAGUAGAUUGCAUUAUGAAUUUAGAAAAUUUAAAAUUGCUGUUUGAGGAAAAAAAAAAUCUACCAAGUGUCAUCAUGUUACUUUAAGAGUUUUGGGUCCAGUCCUCUUGCUUCUUCUAAUUUCUCGCAAAAUUUGCCACAAUUACUUGCCACAGUCACUCAGUGACAAUACUGUGAGAUGAAUUAUACUGCCGUAUCAAGUAUUUGUUGUAAUUAUUAUAUUAUUCAAAAAUGGCAACAUAACUGUUUUGCAUAUCACACAUUUAGUUUCUGUUUUGUUUUUCUGGUGUGAUCUAUAAAAAUCAUCAUUUGCAUCAAAAUGCAUUGAUAAAAUUGGACUUUUUAUUCUUUGAGCAAAUGAGUUUAUUUUUCCAAUGAGCAAAUAAAUAUAAUUUUCAGGGUCAAUAUCAAGUUUGUGCAAGUAUAUACAGGUGUUUUUUCAUCAGCAGAAAGCUGUAGAAUGGUAACUACUGUGGUUAUGAGCUAGUCAUAAGUGUUUCAACUAAAGGUGAAGGGGGUUUCCCAACCACAGCAUAUGGGAGGAGCAGUUUGUUUGAUAUUAUUUUUCUGUGUGCGACAUAUAAUACUUUCCCCAGUAACCUGAUAUGCAGAUGUGGAGGAAAGCAAAGGUCUAUUUCUGACUAAAAAGGCUGUGUGUUUUCCGCCCUGUACUUCCUGCCUCAUGUUGUUGCUCUUGUCAUUGAUGUGAUCUCUGUUCUGAUUGGCAUUUCCACACAUCCUGUAUAUAGUUAGUAGUAUACUGUAUUUAGUGUAAAUAGUCUUGUUGUUCCUGCAGGGGGUUGGUGCCUUUUCCUGAUGGUUAUCUUUUUCUCCUGGGUUUGGUUAAUAGGGGUGGAAAGUAUGACAGAUUUCUUAUAAUUAUUAGGAAUUAAUAAUUAACUUCCCACCCCUUCAUUUGGGGUGAAUUAUUCCUGUAAAACAGCUCCCAAAUAAUUAAAAACUAAAAGGAAUAAUUCACCCAAAAAUGAAUUUUGUCAUCAUUUACACACCCUUCCUGUAUCAUUAGCUAUGUGACACUGAUUGAAUAUUAUGUUUGGACUUUUAAGGCAGUCUAAAGGACAUGGACAUUUUAACUCUGUUGCAUAAGGUAGAGAUCUUCCAUUGAAAUGUUCAGUUUUUUAUUUUAAACUCCAGCCCUACCUAAACAAACC
ensembl:lncRNA